rnacentral:rRNA from 1 species
UACAGAGGGGGCAAGCGUUGUUCGGAAUUACUGGGCGUAAAGGGCGCGUAGGCGGCCUGCUAAGUCGAACGUGAAAUCCCUGGGCUCAACCCAGGAACUGCGUCCGAUACUGGUUGGCUUGAAUCCGGGAGAGGGAUGUGGAAUUCCAGGUGUAGCGGUGAAAUGCGUAGAGAUGUGGAGGAACACCGAUGGCGAAGGCAGCCUUCUGGGCCAACACUGACGCUCAUGCACGAAAGCGUGGGGAGCAAACAGG